UGGGGAAUCUUGGACAAUGGGGGCAACCCUGAUCCAGCGACGCCGCGUGGGUGGUAAGGCCUUCGGGUUGUAAACUGCUUUUGCGUGGGACGAUAACGACGGUACCACGCGAAUCAGCCCCGGCUAACUCUGUGCCAGCAGCCGCGGUAAUACAGAGGGGGCAAGCGUUGUCCGGACUUACUGGGCGUAAAGCGCACGCAGGUGGUAACGCAAGUGGGGUGUGAAAGCCGCCAGCUCAACUGGCGGAGGCCAUCCCAAACUGCGUCACUUGAGGCCUGUAGAGGUAUGUGGAAUUGCCGGUGUAGUGGUGAAAUGCGUAGAGAUCGGCAGGAACACCCAGGGGGAAGCCAGCAUACUGGACAGGUCCUGACACUCAGGUGCGACAGCGUGGGGAGCGAACCGGAUUAGAUACCCGCGUAGUCC
rnacentral:rRNA from 1 species